rnacentral:rRNA from 1 species
UACGUAGGGGGCAAGCGUUGUCCGGAAUUAUUGGGCGUAAAGAGCGCGUAGGCGGUCCGAUAAGUCGGCUGUGAAAGUCAAGGGCUCAACCCUUGAAAGCCGGCCGAUACUGUCGGACUAGAGUCCGGAAGAGGCGAGUGGAAUUCCCGGUGUAGCGGUGAAAUGCGCAGAUAUCGGGAGGAACACCAUGGCGAAGGCGAGCUCGCUGG